ACUGUUUCUUGGCCUUUUGGAUAAGAUCAAGCAUAGCAUCUGUUCUCAGUUUAAUAUCUGAUAUGCCCUCUAUGCAAGGACAAUGAAUUAAAUGGAUUUUUGGAACCAGGAGAUGGAAUAGGAGCUUGCUCCAUCCACUCAAUCCAUGCACCAACCUGAUAUUACAGUACUUCCAAGAAUGGUGCAGCAAUU